GGGAGGCGAGUCUGGUUGUGCGAGGCUGCGGCUCAGGCGACGAUUGCUCUGAAUACAAAAGAGCCUUUCUCACGCCCUUGCGCCCUUCCCCGCCUGGGGCGCCCAGAUGGACGGCACUGGCUCCUUGAACACUAGAGCCGACAGCUGUCGGGGCCACAACACCAUUUCUGUGGUUCUUGCAGAGAAGCCUGCUUCCAAGUCUUUACAGGAAAGUUUAAUGAUCAGUAUAACGAUAACUUUGGUCCCCUCCUCCAAUUUGAGAGAAAAAACAAAUUGAGGGAUGAAGGCUUUUGAAGCCCGGCCGCACUGUGAGGCAGGUUGGAUCUUAGUUCCCCAACCAGCCAUUGCUGGACUGCAA